rnacentral:lncRNA from 1 species
GGAGACAUGCAUAUCAGAUCCACAGCUGCAACAUCUGAGAGGAGAGUUAAGGGUUUGAGGGUCUAAAGCUCUUAAUCUUGUUCUUGAGUUGACGAUAGAUGAAGUUGUUGAAGGAGUCAACCGAUCGAAACAUAUUGGAAUGCAGACUAGUGUUUCAUUCAUUCUGAAUCCAAUAUAUCAUAGCUUGCCAAGCUAAAUGAGAUAGGAGAGUGAGC